CAACUUUCAACAAUGGAUCUCUUGGUUCUCGCAUCGAUGAAGAACGCAGCGAAUUGCGAUAUGUAAUGUGAAUUGCAGAAUUCAGUGAAUCAUCGAAUCUUUGAACGCACAUUGCACCCUCUGGCAUUCCGGAGGGUAUGCCUGUUUGAGUGUCAUUA
rnacentral:rRNA from 1 species